rnacentral:rRNA from 1 species
AUUGAACGCUGGCGGCAUGCCUUACACAUGCAAGUCGAACGGCAGCACGGGAGCAAUCCUGGUGGCGAGUGGCGAACGGGUGAGUAAAGUAUCGGAACGUGCCCAGUCGUGGGGGAUAACGUAGCGAAAGUUACGCUAAUACCGCAUACGAUCUAUGGAUGAAAGCGGGGGAUCGCAAGACCUCGCGCGAUUGAAGCGGCCGAUAACAGAUUAGGUAGUUGGUGGGGUAAAGGCUCACCAAGCCGACGAUCUGUAGCUGGUCUGAGAGGACGACCAGCCACACUGGGACCGUGACACGGCCCAGACUCCUACGGGAGGCAGCAGUGGGGAAUUUUGGACAAUGGGCGAAAGCCUGAUCCAGCCAUGCCGCGUGCAGGAUGAAGGCCUUCGGGUUGUAAACUGCUUUUGUACGGAACGAAAAGGUUUGGCCUAAUAAGCUGAGCUCAUGACGGUACCGUAAGAAUAAGCACCGGCUAACUACGUGCCAGCCGCCGCGGUAA